rnacentral:rRNA from 1 species
UACAGGGGGGGCAAGCGUUGUUCGGAAUUACUGGGCGUAAAGGGCUCGUAGGCGGCCAACUAAGUCCGACGUGAAAUCCCAAAGCUUAACUUUGGAACUGCGUCGGAUACUGGAUGGCUUGAAUUCGGGAGAGGGAUGCAGAAUUCCAGGUGUAGCGGUGAAAUGCGUAGAUAUCUGGAGGAACGCCGGAGGCGAAAGCGAGUGACUGGCGCGUUCCUGACGCUGAGGUGCGAAAGCUAGGGGAGCAAACAGG